CCUCUCCCUGGUGCUCCGCUGCGCUGCGUGGGUGUGUUUCACCAGCCUGCGGGCAGAACCCUCCAGACCUGUCCCCAGAACCGCAUCGGUUGUUUUGAUGCUUCUGCCCCGAGACAGGAUCGACACACCACCACCAAACUGAUGGAAGGGAAAUGGCCCCUGGGUGAGUUAGACCUCAUCCAUGCUCGUCAGGCUAAUUAACUCAUCAGCAAGGACCGAAUCCAGCCUCCUGGUAAGUGAUAUCUAAAUCACUGCUGCAAGGAGAGGAUGAAAUAUGGGCGCAUGAGAGGGGAGACAAGGGAUGUGACUGAGGAGGAAAAAGUCACAGAGCAAGAAGAAAUAUGGACAAGGUGUGUGAAAUGGGCCACGUUCCUCAGAGCUGCUGUCACUGCCGUGGUUCAGGUGUGGUUCAGGACGUGUGUGCGUGGACACGGAUCUCUGCCUCUGGCCAUGGAACAGCGAGAGGCUCCGAUGGGAGCGCAUGGCUCUGCUCUGUGCACGCACACGGCGACUUGGGUGCUCUUUACACACGCAGGGGCACUCUGAAACCAGCUGGAAAUCCACAUUUGUUCAUGCUCAGCAGCUGGCUUUUGCCAGCAGUGAUAUUCCUGCAGCCUGUACUCGGCUGGAGCAGUCUCAACAGCACUUCACUGUGCUCAUGGUGACUGCUCAGCCUGGGGCAUUUGGAUCUUUGAAAGGGGAGAAAAAGGGAGCAGCAUGGAUAGGUUUCCCAUUAAGAUCAUCUAGUUCAACCCCUGGUUUUGGGACUAGACUGUCACCAGCACAUCAGAUUCAGUCCUGGUUGAAUGUUAAAUAAAA